rnacentral:rRNA from 1 species
CCUACGGGUGGCUGCAGUGAGGAAUAUUGGUCAAUGGGCGAGAGCCUGAACCAGCCAAGUCGCGUGAGGGAAGAAGGUCCUACGGAUUGUAAACCUCUUUUGUCAGGGAGCAAGGAGCGCCACGAGUGGUGCGGCGAGAGUACCUGAAGAAAAAGCAUCGGCUAACUCCGUGCCCGCAGCCGCGGUAAUACGGAGGAUGUGAGCGUUAUUCGGAUUUAGUGGUUUUAAAGGGUUCGCAUGGGGAAGAGGCAAGUCGGCGGUAAAAUUGCGGGGCUCAACCUCACCGAGCCGUUGAAACUGCUCGUCGAGAGUGGGCGAGAAGUAUGCGGAAUGCGUGGUGUAGCGGGG